UUAAAGAUAAUGAAGAGGAGAGUAAAUAUAGAAAUUCAAUCCUAGCGAGCUGACGAUGGUGAAAGGUUGGCAUUGAAACUAUAUGGAAGAACACCUCAGAAUCUCUAACCCAAAUUGUGACAUUAAUGGCACGAAAGUAGGCUUAGACGGAUCCAAACCGUUAAGAAUUGGAGAGUAUACAAUUGAUUGUGCUCGUUAAAGUGGUCAUGUUUUUAUGACAAAUUAGGUGGUACCGCGAAUAUUUAACCUUCGUCCUGAUA
rnacentral:ncRNA from 1 species